AUGUAAAAUGACUCUCGGCAACGGAUAUCUCGGCUCUUGCAUCUAUGAAGAACGUAGCGAAAUGCGAUACUUGAUGUGAAUUGCAGAAUCCCGUGAACCAUCGAGUCUUUGAACGCAAGUUGCGCCCAAAGCCAUUAAGCUGAGGGCACGCCUGCCUGGGUGUCACAC
rnacentral:rRNA from 1 species